rnacentral:rRNA from 1 species
UUGGAGGGCAAGUCUGGUGCCAGCAGCCGCGGUAAUUCCAGCUCCAAUAGCGUAUAUUAAAGUUGUUGCAGUUAAAAAGCUCGUAGUUGAAUUUCGGGGUUCUACCGUUGGUCGGGCUUUGUCUGUACUGGUGUGUAGAAUUUCUACCUUCUGGGGAACCAUCAUGCUAUUAAUUUAGCGUGGUGGGAAACCAGGACCUUUACCUUGAAAAAAUUAGUGUGUUCAAAGCAGGCUUAUGUCUGAAUACAUUAGCGUGGAAUAAUAGAAUAGGACGGUGGUCCUGUUCUGUUGGUUUCUGAAUCACCGUAAUGAUUAAUAGGGAUAGUUAGGGGCAUUAGUAUUCAAUUGUCAGAGGUGAAAUUCUUGGAUUUAUUGAAGACUAACUUCUGCGAAAGCAUUUGCCAAGGAUGUUUUCAUUAAUCAAGAACGAAAGUUAGGGGAUCGAAGACGAUCAGAUACCGUCGUAGUCUUAACCAUAAACUAUGCCGACUAGGGAUCGGACGAUGUUAAUUUUUCUUGACUCGUUCGGCGCCUUACGGGAAAC